GGUGUGACUUUUUACCACGAUGUCGGAGGGUAGGGGCGGGGAGACGGGGAAGAAGGCCUUUGCGAAGGAAGGGGACUCUUCAAUAAAGUGCCACUUUGGGGAGAAACUAGGCUUUUGUAGGUAAGAUGCAGGCCGUGGAUAGAUACAGAGAUCGCGUCUGGGGAGCCUUUAGAGCUGUGAAGUUUGUAGAACAGGCCCUCCCCCUCCCUCUUCAAAAGAAAAUGAAAAGGUCUUAAUCAGCAGCCACGUAGUGAACAUACUAAGCACUGACUGCAAAAUCUUGGUGUAUAGACGCAUAACCUCUCCUUCCAAAGAAGCCACAGAAUUCUUAAGCUUUAAAAGUGACAUUACUACCUUGGGAAAUCAGCCUCUGCUACAAAAUGCUUCUGGUUCAACCAGGCUCCCCAUGUACAACUUAAGACUGCAACACCAGCUUGUGAAACUGAGGGUCAGGUGGAAUGGAGUUCCAAAUCACUCUGUGCUCCGCGGCAUCCCGAUUUCUUUCUGCAGCUAACCUCCUGACACGUUUGCAGCUGUUCUGUGGCAGAAAGACAAUCUCCAUGUUCAGGCGGGUCUCUGACAGCCUUUUUAGGACUACAAGCAACACUCUUGCCAGUUCCUGGAAUGGUGCUUGGUGGAGUAUCUGCUGAGGUGGCAAGAUUUUUCUGAAUCAACUUUCUAGCAUUCUGCGACAUGACAUCAGGCUGAGUCUUCUGGCCAGUGUUGCUCCGGACUGCUAUAGAGAAAGAGUAGAUAGCUCAAUUCACAUGUAAAAAAGAAGACCAGAAAGAUUCUUUCAAGGUGGGAGUUAUUUCCUGGAGCAUUUCAACGUGUUCUUGACUUCGAACCUGACCCAUAGCUUGGACUAAUGUAAACAGCACCGUCUGAAUGUUGUCUUGCCAUGAUUUAUAUUCACCUAAGAACUGCCUAACACUGUUCUCAUAGGGAACAUCUUCACCAUCUGCCAGGGCAGCUUCUUCAUCCUAGAAUUGAUAUAUUAAUGAUUAAGAGAAACGGUAUUUGUUUCAAUAGUAACUCCUAACACAGUCAAUUUUGAGUAACAACCAAAAACAGCACAGCUACCAUUCACUUGCCUGGCAACAUCGAUGUAAUGAGCAUGUGUUUCUUCCUCGAGUCCCAUAGCUGCAUUUCUUAAAUAGGCCUGAAGAGAUUCAACUAGAGUCUGCAGGGGAACGCCAUCAGUUGUCUGCUCAAUAAGACUGUCCAGCUCAUGAAGCAUACUUUCUAACGUGUAUUCUCCUUUCAUUAAACAUCUCAGUGCUUCUGGAAAUAUGAUUUGCCGGAAAUUUGAAUUUAAUUCCUAUAAAUAUGUGAGAAAUAUAUUUUAAUGUUUUCUGAGUUAAGGUAAGUUAUACAUUUAGAGGUUUAAUGCCAUGUACUAAGAACAAACUUAUGCAACUGUAACCAACUUCUGGCUACAAACCUCACACUGACCUUUAAGUGACUGAUUAAGCAACAUUAAAAGGGGAAAAGUCAAAUUGCUUUUCUGAACCAGAGAUAAUAAGUAUAAAUGUUCAAUAUCUAAAACAAACUUAUCAAUGUUACACUAAUUUAAAAGUGUUCACCUGAAGUGAGGUAUAAACUCCAUUAGCUAAGUGAACUGCCUCAGAAGCUUCCAUUGGGUUCGGAAUGUCUAAGUCCUGUGGCACCAGGUGGCACUGCUUCAGUAACUGCACCAGGCAAGUGACGUUCCCACUCAUACUGCAGAGCUCUUCCAAGAACCAGGCUCCAUCCCGAGAGGUCAGAUCCACCAGCUGCUCCCCAGCACUUGAAGCUGCACCUUCCAUCAUCAGGUUACGCCUAAAUGCAACAAGUGUUUGUACAAUGAAAACUACUCAGCUAUACUCACACACAAAAGUGGAUACCUCAAACUCUGAAGGGAAGUAAAGCAGCUAUAACAGUGAGUGAGACUAAUGAAAGUAAAAAAAAUACAUUAAGUUUGGUAUUAAACAAAAGGCACAAGCAAUCUCAAUAAGCAUGAAAGUUUUCAAGACAACAAAAUGGUCUCAAUACAAAGUUGGUUAACUCACCUUGUAAGAGUACAAAGGGCGGAAAUAAUAACACUUGCUAGACUCAAAGAUCCUUCUUCCCCAUUCUCGUGAAGGAAAACCUUAAUGCAACGUUCAAUUUCUUUCAACUGAUCUUCACAAACAGGCACAGUAACAGCUUCCUGUUUCAAGCGUUCCACUUGUCUAAUAAGCCUACUGUUGAUGUCAGCUGCGUACCGCUGCAGAGUCAUCUCUGUGGCCGUGAUGAAUUGACACACUGUUGGUGGAGGCUGGGGAGCAUACUGCAUCUCGUAUCUGUGCAAACAGAGAGAGGUGCUUGUAUACAACAUAAGCACUUCUUGCUUGUAAAGAAAGUUCGCAUUUUACACUGGGGAAUAUGGAAUACUGUCUGUGAUUCUCAAACCUUAAAUAGUAGAAACCAUGAUUUCCAUUUUUACAGAUAAGAAAAAGUCUCAAGAGCUCAAGUAAACUAUUUUUUCAAGUAAAUUUUCUAAGACAACUUUUUUGUGAGCAACAGCUCAAUGUUGCAGUUUAGCUGUCUUUACCCUGAUCCCAUCACUCUGACACUAGGACACGUUUUAAUUAGAAAAAACACACCAUCUUAUAAGGGAAAACAGGAGUUCAAAUCCUCUUAAAACCAAGAAAAAAAGAGACCCCCAUUCAGAUUCCAUCCAUCAACCAUUUCUUUCAGAAAAAUAAAAUACUAUAUACAUAAAAUAAUAAUUUGAACACAACUCUGCUUCCAAUCCCCUGAGAAGUAAAGAAAAUUAAAUGUGAUCAACGUACUUCCUGUACAGUUCUUGACAGCGCUCAACUGUGGUAUUACAGAUGAGCUCUUCCAUCCAGGUCUUCCACUGCUCAAUUCGAUGUUUUUGAAAUAUGGCUUUUGGAUACUGCAGAGCUACAGUUGCAUAGUGAUGCAGCUGUUCCAGACAACCUCGGAGCACUGAACGCCUCUGCUGGAGAAGAGCGCCCACUUCUCCCUCUAGCUGCUCACACUGGCUAAUCAAGUGCGCCUGGCCAGCAUUCUGUAGAAAGGCUGUUGCGGGCACAUAGCUUGGAGGACCUUUUGGUAAAAAAGAUUAUUAAUCACAGUGAAACUAUUCCAAACCAGCAGUCAUUGAAAGGAGCACAAACCAGAACCCCACACAUAAACACACAAAUACACAUGCUCAACAUGUGUAUCUAACUCACAUGCUCAACAUGUGUAUCUAAGAUAAAUCAACCCAUACCAAGGUCCAUUUGUGAGCUUAUCUCCUGAAGCAAACUUGCAAGUUGUGUUGCUUCUAAAUUAUUGAACGCAGCCUGAUAAUGCGUUAUCCACUGUUCAAAUUCAUUCAGCUUCACCUGGAUUGCUUCCUGUACAGCCCUUUGCUGAGUCUGUAGUUGAGUGUGUUCAGAAUACCUAAUAAGAGGAAAUAUUUUUUAAUUGCCUCUUCCUUCUACUUAAUUUCAUAACCUUGAUUUUGCUCAUACUUGAGGUUGCCUGGUAAGCUCCUUUUCAAUCUUAAGGGCAUAAUUCAAAUGUCCCUUACUUCUCUGUUUUUGCCCAUAAUUCUCUCAACUCUACUCACAACAUUUUAAAUAAAACAUGUUCAAAAUCUACCACACAGACAAAAAAACAACCAGCACACCUACCAGGUUUUGAGUGUAAAUGACAGACCUUUUAAUCCCAGAGACUCACACAGUGUGUGGCAUUUGCAUAUUUACCCUUUACUGACCGCCUGGCUCUGUACAAGGUUCAUUCAACUUGGAUCAUUCUGUUUAAUGCUUAAUUCAGCAAAGUGGAUAAAAUAAUUGCCACUGUACUAAUGAAUAAGGAUCCAGACACAAACGGUACAGAGAAACCCAAACCCCUCAAAAA